rnacentral:rRNA from 1 species
UACAGAGGGUGCGAGCGUUAAUCGGAAUUACUGGGCGUAAAGCGUGCGUAGACGGUUACAUAAGUCGGGUGUGAAAUCCCCAGGCUCAACCUGGGAACUGCAUUCGAAACUGCCAGCCUUGAGUGGUGGAGAGGGAAGUGGAAUUCCUGGUGUAGAGGUGAAAUUCGUAGAUAUCAGGAGGAACACCAGUGGCGAAGGCGGCUUCCUGGACACCAACUGACGCUGAGACGCGAAAGCGUGGGGAGCAAACAGG